GUAGGUGGCAAGCGUUGUCCGGAAUUAUUGGGCGUAAAGCGCGCGCAGGCGGUCCUUUAAGUCUGAUGUGAAAGCCCACGGCUCAACCGUGGAGGGUCAUUGGAAACUGGGGGACUUGAGUACAGAAGAGGAAAGCGGAAUUCCACGUGUAGCGGUGAAAUGCGUAGAGAUGUGGAGGAACACCAGUGGCGAAGGCGGCUUUCUGGUCUGUAACUGACGCUGAGGCGCGAAAGCGUGGGGAGCAAACAGGAUUAGAUACCCUGGUAGUCCACGCCGUAAACGAUGAGUGCUAAGUGUUAGGGGGUUUUCCGCCCCCCUUAGUGCUGCAGCUAACGCAUUAAGCACUCCGCCUGGGAGUACGGCCGCAAGGCUG
rnacentral:rRNA from 1 species